AGUGAACGCUGGCGGUAUGCCUAACACAUGCAAGUCGAACGGCAGCACAGUAAGAGCUUGCUCUUACGGGUGGCGAGUGGCGGACGGGUGAGGAAUACAUCGGAAUCUACUUUUUCGUGGGGGAUAACGUAGGGAAACUUACGCUAAUACCGCAUACGACCUACGGGUGAAAGCAGGGGAUCUUCGGACCUUGCGCGAUUGAAUGAGCCGAUGUCGGAUUAGCUAGUUGGCGGGGUAAAGGCCCACCAAGGCGACGAUCCGUAGCUGGUCUGAGAGGAUGAUGAGCCACACUGGAACUGAGACACGGUCCAGACUCCUACGGGAGGCAGCAGUGGGGAAUAUUGGACAAUGGGCGCAAGACUGAUCCAGCCAUACCGCGUGGGUGAAGAAGGCCUUCGGGUUGUAAAGCCCUUUUGUUGGGAAAGAAAAGCAGCAGGUUAAUACCCCGCUGUUCUGACGGUACCCAAAGAAUAAGCACCGGCUAACUUCGUG
rnacentral:rRNA from 1 species